ACACGACUGCCCGGGAAGACCAGGCGGCUGCUCGUCGAUCACCUUGCCCGGAGAAAGCGCGCAGUUCGCGAGCCGAGCAGAGUAGACACGAGUGCCCGGGUAGACCAGGCGGCUGAUAGUCGAUCACCUUGCCCGGAGAAGGCGCGCAGUUCGCGAGCCGAGCAGAGUAGACACGAGUGCCCGGGUAGACCAGGCGGCUGCUCGUCGAUCACCUUGCCCGGAGAAGGCGCGCAGUUCGCGAGCCGAGCAGAGUAGACACGAGUGCCCGGGUAGACCAGGCGGCUGA
rnacentral:lncRNA from 1 species